rnacentral:rRNA from 1 species
AUUCCUGCACCCCGCGUAAGUGCGAUGGAGGGACGGAGAAGGUUAGGUGUACCAGGCGUUGGUUGUCCUGGGGAAAGGCGGUAGGUUUGGAUCUUUGGCAAAUCCGGGAUCCUUUAAGACCGAGCACCGAGACGAGCCUUUAUGGCGAAGUCACUGAUACCACGCUUCCAGGAAAAGCUCCUAAGCUUCAGCUUACGCAGACCGUACCGUAAACCGACACAGGUGGGUAGGAUGAGAAUUCUCAGGCGCUUGAGAGAACUCGGGUGAAGGAACUAGGCAACAUGGCACCGUAACUUCGGGAGAAGGUGCACCCUUUUUGGUGGCUCGUGCGAGCUAUAGCUGAAGAGGGUCGCAGUAACCAGGCCGCUGCGACUGUUUAUCAAAAACACAGCACUCUGCAAA